rnacentral:sRNA from 1 species
GCAUGCGCGAAUCCCGACUGAUUAGUGACCCGGGGGGGCUUGCGGGAGUGCGCAGCGCGGCCGGGCGCGACUGGAGGCCCUUUUGGCCUGGAGAGCUUCGGCCUUCACGGCUGGCGCAGCCUGGAUUCCCGUCCGGAGGACUCGGCGGCACCCGGUGUUUGCGUGCCUGCGAGCAAGGGUUUGCUGGCCUAGACCUGAACUCUUCAGAUAAUCAGAGUGGAGGAAGUACAGCCAGCAAAGGGCGCUAUAUUCCUCCUCAUUUAAGGAACCGAGAAGCUACUAAAGGUUUCUACGAUAAAGACAGUUCAGGGUGGAGUUCUAGCAAAGAUAAGGAUGCGUAUAGCAGUUUUGGAUCUCGUAGUGAUUCAAGAGGGAAGUCUAGCUUCUUCAGUGAUCGUGGAAGUGGAUCAAGGGGAAGGUUUGAUGAUCGUGGACGGAGUGAUUACGACGGCAUUGGCAGCCGUGGUGACAGAAGUGGCUUUGGCAAAUUUGAACGUGGUGGAAACAGUCGCUGGUGUGACAAAUCAGAUGAAGAUGAUUGGUCAAAACCACUCCCACCAAGUGAACGCUUGGAACAGGAACUCUUUUCUGGAGGCAACACUGGGAUUAAUUUUGAGAAAUAUGAUGACAUUCCAGUUGAGGCAACAGGCAACAACUGUCCUCCACAUAUUGAAAGUGAAAAUGGAAGGUAUGGGCGCCGCAAACAAUACCCAAUCUCCUUGGUAUUAGCACCAACGAGAGAGUUGGCAGUACAGAUCUACGAGGAAGCCAGAAAAUUUUCAUACCGAUCUAGAGUUCGUCCUUGCGUGGUUUAUGGUGGUGCCGAUAUUGGUCAGCAGAUUCGAGACUUGGAACGUGGAUGCCAUUUGUUAGUAGCCACUCCAGGACGUCUAGUGGAUAUGAUGGAAAGAGGAAAGAUUGGAUUAGACUUUUGCAAAUAUUUGGUGUUAGAUGAAGCUGAUCGGAUGUUGGAUAUGGGGUUUGAACCUCAGAUUCGUAGAAUAGUUGAACAAGAUACUAUGCCUCCAAAGGGUGUCCGCCACACUAUGAUGUUUAGUGCUACUUUCCCUAAGGAAAUACAGGUACUGUUUGAUGUUGCAAAUUUUAUUUGUUUAGAAAUUUGUUUAUCUCAGGUAAUAAUAAAAAUUUUUUUUCUUUCAGAUGCUGGCUCGUGAUUUCUUAGAUGAAUAUAUCUUCUUGGCUGUAGGAAGAGUUGGCUCUACCUCUGAAAACAUCACACAGAAAGUAGUUUGGGUGGAAGAAUCAGACAAACGGUCAUUUCUGCUUGACCUCCUAAAUGCAACAGGCAAGGAUUCACUGACCUUAGUGUUUGUGGAGACCAAAAAGGGUGCAGAUUCUCUGGAGGAUUUCUUGUACCAUGAAGGAUACGCAUGUACCAGUAUCCAUGGAGACCGUUCUCAGAGGGAUAGAGAAGAGGCCCUUCACCAGUUCCGCUCAGGAAAAAGCCCAAUUCUAGUGGCUACAGCAGUAGCAGCAAGAGGACUGGACAUUUCAAAUGUGAAACAUGUUAUCAA